GCAUUCUCUUCCUUCAGGAGCUCCGGUCUCUCUUUUGUCUUUGGAGGGCCCGCUCGGGAGCUCCGAGGAGCCCACAGAUCUCCACGGCCUGCUCAAACACCAUUCUGUCUGGGUGGGUCCACUGAGCCAACAGAGGGAAAGGAAGACAAACACGGCCAGGAAGCAAGAUGCCAAACGAACUGAAAAGACACGGCCGAGCGAGGCCGCCGCGGUCACUGGGCAUUUGGCCAGCUCUUCCUGGAGCAAACCGAAGAGCUAUCUAGGCAAUGAAGAGAAUGGUGAUCCCAGGAGCAAAUUACAUCAUCUCGCAGGUGGAGAUCCUCCUAUGGCACGUGGUGGGAAAAUAGGUAAGUGCAGCUGGUUUCAAAAUAAGACAUUUAGACUAAGAUAACUGUCUCUCUUGGAAAGCGAAACAACCCGCCUAGGGUAGCAGUAAGACCUUACAAAAUAACUAAUAACCAUUUCCCAGAGCACAGUAUUUCUCAUACUAACACCUACCAUGCAGUGAAUACUAUUUAUAAGGCAGUCCCUAUGCUAAAGGUUCUACAUCUAUCCAUUUAUUAAGUCUUCACCUGUCUAGGAAGUAGCUACCGUUGUAAUCUCAAUUUCAGAGAUGAGAAAUCUGAAGCCCAGAAAUGUUGAGAAAUUUACUCAAGGUGAUUCAAUUAGCAAGGGAAUGAGAUUCAACCUGAAGCUGCCUGAUACUGUUGCCUGCUACCUUAAUCCCUGGCCGUGCUGACCCUAUAUAUUUUUCCGAAAUGG
rnacentral:lncRNA from 1 species